CUUGGUCAUUUAGAGGAAGUAAAAGUCGUAACAAGGUCUCCGUUGGUGAACCAGCGGAGGGAUCAUUACUGAGUUACCGCUCUACAACCCUUUGUGAACAUACCUUACUGUUGCUUCGGCGGGCAGAGGUCCCCUCGGGGACCCCUCCCGGCCCCGUCCCUCGCGGACGGAGCGCCCGCCGGAGGAUACCAAACUCUAUUUUAACGACGUUUCUUCUGAGUGGCACAAGCAAAUAAUUAAAACUUUCAACAACGGAUCUCUUGGUUCUGGCAUCGAUGAAGAACGCAGCGAAAUGCGAUAAGUAAUGUGAAUUGCAGAAUUCAGUGAAUCAUCGAAUCUUUGAACGCACAUUGCGCCCGCCAGCAUUCUGGCGGGCAUGCCUGUUCGAGCGUCAUUUCAACCCUCAAGCUCUGCUUGGUGUUGGGGCCCUACGUCUGACGUAGGCCCUCAAAGACAGUGGCGGACCCUCUCGGAGCCUCCUUUGCGUAGUAACUAACGUCUCGCACUGGGAUUCGGAGGGACUCUUGCCGUAAAACCCCCAAUUUUUACAGGUUGACCUCGGAUCAGGUAGGAAUACCCGCUGAACUUAAGCAUAUCAAUAAGCGGAGGAAAAGAAACCAACAGGGAUUGCCCCAGUAACGGCGAGUGAAGCGGCAACAGCUCAAAUUUGAAAUCUGGCCCCAGGCCCGAGUUGUAAUUUGCAGAGGAUGCUUUUGGCGCGGUGCCUUCCGAGUUCCCUGGAACGGGACGCCAUAGAGGGUGAGAGCCCCGUACGGUUGGACACCAAGCCUUUGUAAAGCUCCUUCGACGAGUCGAGUUGUUUGGGAAU
rnacentral:sRNA from 1 species